GCUGCAGGUGUGUCAUGGGAAGCUGUAAGCAGCAGGAAUUUGGCAUAAACAAGAUACUGGGCUUGUCAGCCUCGUUCCAGGCUCUUAGCUGUGAGCUGUGUCUUUACAUGUGAGUUCAGCACGCUCUGUUUCGUUUCUGGGGUAGUGCUGAUACCAAAUCAACACCUGACUGCUGCCAGUUGUGGCGCUUUCUGUCCUGCUCUGGGCUGUGGAAGCUGAUGGAAGGAACAGGCUUUGCUAGAGGGACUAGUUCCUUUGGCCUUCACCCAGAGCUCACAUACCUGAAUCAUAAAGGGCUGUGGUAUGUAGCUCAGCAGAAAUUAGAGCUGAGGGAGCUGAUCUGGUUUGGUCAAGUCUUUUCACGGAGGUUGCUCAGACCUUUGAGGUGUGGUGGAGCCUCAGGUGCGACGUUGGGUUAUGUAUUACAGACCCAAACCUCUGACAGAAAGGGGAUGGAGGUUUUUACUGGAAAAAACCAACCACUUGGAGGGACCUGGCAUCCUGAACCAGAGGAUCUGGGGACCUGAAUGAAGACACUGGACAGGACCUGGGGCUUGCUCUGACUCCAGCUCAGUUAAUGUGAACAGCCUGGGGCCCGCAGGAGCCCUCCGUGGUGGCGCUGCUGCUUGGUGGUCUCCCAAAGUCCAAGGGUGCUGCCCGCAGGAGAAGGAGAACAGGUGCUUGCUGCAGAGACCUCAGCCAGGACAGAGGGAACAAUCACUAUUUGGGCUCUGUCUGGGCAGUACUACAUACAGCUUAAAGAGGAAGGAGGAAGAAAAUUUUUGCCUUGUGGACGUGCAUUUGAGGUAGCUCAAUGCAUCCACCUUGCUUAUGUAUCAAAAUGCAGAGCAAGAAGCAAUACUCCAGAGAGACAGAAACACAAGGCAGUGUGAAGUCAGUGGAUGGAACUUUAGAGAUUAGGGUGUGGGUUUUCCCUCCAGCAUCCUGAGGAACAUGAAGGCACAAAGAUUUAAAAAAAAAUCUGAGACACCACAAAUUGCUCUAGGCAUGAAGCUACUUUGUAAAUUGAAAUAUUUAAAGUAUCUUACAAAGGCAAGAAUCAGAUUUACAAAUGCUGAAACAUCGAGUCUUGCUUGUCUUUUUUUACUUUUUUUUUUUUUUCCUUAUAAUUUAAAAAGGUAGCACAAAUGAAAAGUGGAUGCAUGGGGAGAAGGGAGAUGUGUUUGACAAAGCAUAUUUGAUUCAGUCUCUUUGAAAGUUUUAAGAGACAUUCAGAAUGGUAAGGCCCUUUGGACCUCUCUUCAGCACAAGUCAGAUGCUUUGGGCAUGCUUUAGAAGAGGGAACAAGAAGGAGCUGAUUAUAUCUGGGCCACAGAUGUGAAACAGAUCUGCAAACCUUUUAGCUUCUACUUUGUAAAAGCUCAUUCCUGAGUACUCAUAAUACCAGAUCCUACAGUUGAUUAUAAUUGUGCUUUGUAAGUGGUUGUGAGAAACUGGUUUAGUAAUUCAGUAACUAGACUGUGGGAAGCUCUGCAAAUUCCUUCAGCAACUUCAUCUUGUGGGGACUAAAAUGUUCCUCAAACAUUUAGCUAUUUUUGUUGUUCAAUAACCUCUCUCUUGAUCACUGGCAAGAGCAGUGAAUUUGAACAUUCUGCAAAUGCUGAACUGAAUUUUAAAGCAAAAAUUAAAAUCCGACACCAGGCAAAUUUCAGGGCGGCUCUCUGGUCAAACAUCACUUUAUUUUCCAACCGUGCUACUGAGGGAGGGACCUGAUUCAAACUGAGCUUUCUCCAAAUCCAAAAGCACAUGAGGUUGCCCAUGGCUAUUUAAGUGAUUUACCACCCACAACAAAGGGAGGGCUCAGUCAGGACAGCCACUGGGAGUCUCUGGCAGGGAGGUGGCUCUCUGGCUGCUGUGGGAUACCCCCUGCAGCAAACUCAGCUCAUUUAACCCUCAGGGCUUAUUUCUUGUAUGUGAAGCCAUGGCACUUGUCUCCUGCCCAGACGGUGUGGUGGUGUGAUUGCUGGUGGCACUGGGUGUUACUGGUCUCUUCCCACAGUGACAGCAGUCAGGGCUCCGUUGCAGGGUUGUGGUUCCUCUUCUAGAUUUUGGGACAGCAGGAAAAGAGGUCCACCAAAAGAUUCUGCUACUUCUGCCCAGGCUGGUGAAAUGGCUUUUCCCUGAGCAUGUCUCACCUGUCCCCCUCAGAAUAAAAGCCUUGUCUGGACAUCUUUCUCCUCAGAAAGGAAACGUUGUCCCUCCUCACGUUCACAGCUGGGGAUCCAGCACAGGCUCAUGGCAGUGGUGUGAGGGAGGCUGCUUCUCUCUAGGCUGGGGAAGGGGCAGUAGGGCAGGGAAGGGCUCUGUCCUUCAGUGACCCUCAUAUGCUAUGGGGGUGGGUUAAGAAGGAAGGAAGGAAGAUGGGCUACAUAGAAAUGGAGAGAGGAAAAAAAUCGGGGAGCCAGUGAGGGUCAGAAGAGUAGUAUGUCAAGAGGCAUGAAAAGAAGGUGGAAAAGCUGUUUUCUUGUUUUCCAUAGCACUAGGGACAAUGCCCUUUGAGUGCUUUGCUGAUCCCCUUUAUCACAGGGGCUUGGCAAGAGAAAGCAGGGACGGAGGCACCGGAAGGAUCUUUGCUUCCAUCCCAAAAGCAGUUUGUAAUCUGAUUCCUGAAAUGAGUCUUCAAGCUGCAAGGAAGCUCUGUAGCUUUUUUUUUUUUUUCCCCUUUAAACAGCUUAGCACCUUUUAAACCUGGCGGAGUGUUCUGGGAGCUGGGCCAGGACUCUGCCCUGGGCCCUGCCCCAUGGUCCCUAUUGUCAUUAGAUGUCAUUUUCUGCCAAAGAGGAGUGAGAGUCAUCCCACAGCUGUCCCCCGGGAGUGCUGACCAGCCAAGGGCUGCUUUGCUAGAGGUCAGUGGUACAAGGGAGUGGGGAGAAGGCAGGGGAUGCUGCAGUGCAGUGAGUUGAUCCAGAGCCUUGGGUCCCAGGUAGGACACAGUGCUGCUGGCACUCCUCGUUACCGAGGUCAGUCAUCCGUCCUGCUGCGCUCUGCUCUUUCCAGUUUCCAGCAGCUGCUCUUGCACGGCGUGGCAUGGAUGUACCUGGAGUGUGAAAGGAGCCAGGAGGCAGUGAGCUUUGCCUCAGAGGCCUGGGGUGCUUCUUGCCUGUUUUCCAUCCUCCUCUUCAGCCCCUCAAGUCCAGGCACCGGUGUGCAACUGGCUGCGUGUGGGACUUCCUCAAAGCCAAAGCUUGGCUGCAGUGGAGAGGAAUCCAGAUGCAAUCUUGGCCUCUUUUCACAAGACUGUAAGUCAGUGGUAGCUGGGAAGUGAUAUGCUCCUGUCUAAUUAAUUCUUUUCCAGGGAAUAAAAGGAGAUGUUUUCUGUUUGGUGUCUGUGAUGGAUCCAUCAUUCCUUUAGGUACGAUGUGCAGACAGACACAGAGAAGCAGCCGGUGUCCUCGGCUCUGUGCUCACGCUGGUGUCUGGCUGAGCAGCUUCAUUCUGGGACGGGAAGCAGCUGAGAUCUCUGGUUUCACUAUGGGGCUGUUCCUUUCCCGAGGGAGAGAGGAGACUCAUCGCUCCUCAAAAACAUCACAAAAACUGCUGACCCUGAAAACAUGGAGUCAUCUGCGAUUUCCAGAGUUCUACCCUUGUCCUUUCCUCCUGCAGCUGCUUCCCAAAUGGCUGACAUACACUCGGAGCACUUUUGGGUUCACAGAGCCUCUACAUCAGUGACUGCUGCAAAGGCAGAAACUUUCUCCUGCAUGCUGCAGUAUGAGGGCUGCAGUGUGCUGCUCCUGAUGGGUUUCCUUCUCCCUUGAUUGUUGCCAUGAGCAGCACAGGGUGUGCUGUGGUACAGCACCCCAAACAAAUCCCUCAGCUGUGCCCUCCAGCCCUCUGUCUGGGGACUGGGAGAAGGUGCUGCAUAACCUGGUGUUCUUGCCACAAAUAACAUGUUAGGAGGGUCCUCACUGUUGCUGAGGACAGAUAGGACCACGUGUUGGAAUACUUUGGGUAAUAACUUGACAGUGGUGGGUUAAUGGUCACACUCAAUGAUCUUAGGGGUCUUUUCCAACCAAAAUGAUUGAAUGAUUCUAUGAAGAAACUGAUCAGCUUGAAGCAUUUGUGGUUGGAUGAGGGCAAAAUACAAUUCCUGUCUUUAUCUGUAUAAAAACCUGUUUAAUAUGUCUAGUUAACAUGCUGGAGCAAAAGAGCAAUUUGUGAAGAGAGACGUGCUUGUUAAGCACUCGGUGCUGCCCAUGUACACAAACCUGUAUUUUUUUAAUAAAGGGGUUUUUUUGCAGGUUCCUCAUCCAAA